AUUUCUAAAACAAUUUGCUGAUUUAAUCUUACACUGCUUCUUCAGAGGGAAAAAUACUAUUGAAGCGAAGCAAUAUCUUGAAAAGUGUUAUGGAGAUUCCGCUCCAUUAGAAACAGUAAAUAAAUCUUUAUUUACUGACUUCAAACAUAGUCGUAGAAAUAUAAAUAAUGCAGAACGCAGUGGACGUCCAAACGAGACGGUAACAAUAGAAAAAAACGUUUUUAAUGAUAGAAAAUGAAGUUGCGUGAGUUAGCUGCCAUUGUGAAAAUAUCAAUCGAAUGUGUUACCUAUAUAUAAGCAUUUGUCCAUGAGAAAGCUCUGUUUAUAGAGGCGCCGCGUUUGCUAACUGUAGACCACAAACAAAAACGUGCUGAUGAUUCAGAUGUUGAAUGCGUUUGAAGGACAAAAUAACGGGAAAAUGGCCACAUUUGAAGGGGAAGAAAGUUUUGUUUCCCCAGGAUAACGCAUCGUGUCACAAGUCAAUCAAAACAAUGGCAAAACUACGUAAUUGAACUUCAAAUUGCUCCUGCAUCCACCUGACUCUCUAGAUUUGUCUUUCAAUGACUACUGGCUAUUUGCUCACCUGCAAAUAGUAUUUCCCAGUAAGAAAUUUUGCUCAAAUGAAGAGGUUAUCGAUGAAACUGAGGACUAUUUUGAGGCAACAGAUAAAGCGUUUUUUAAAAGUGACGUUCAAAUGUUAGAGCGACGCUAGAAUGAUUCUCUGGGUCUUGAAGCAAAUAACAUUGAUGAAUCAAGCCAAUUUUGAACAAAAAAAAAGUGGUUUCUUUGUUAAGCUCGGACCCAUGUGUUAUACAUAUAUAUCAUGGUUAAAACCAAAGGACAUUUUGUUCAAGUCAGAGAGAAGAUUGUUCAAUUAAAAAAAAGGCAGUGGAUACAAAUCAAUUUCCAAGAAAUUGGAUGUUCUUAAAUAAACUGUUUGCAAUAUAGUAAAGAAAUAUGGAGAAUAUGUAGAAGUUUGUAAUGGUAAAAUACUGGUCGGCCAUCAAUGCUAUCUCCUAAGACGCAAAGAAAAGUGGUCAAGGAAGUCAAAGUUAACCGCAGAACAAAUACAAAGGUUAUUAUAAAUGGUUUAGAGAAUAAUAAUAUUGUUGUUUCAUGAAGAACUGUAUCUAGAAUUUUUCACAGAGAAGGCGAUCAGUAGAGACGUCCAAGAAAAACACAAUUACUUAACCCUCGACCCCUUAGAUCAAGGUUAAAGUUUCCCAAAGAACACUUUGAGAUGGAAAUGACCUUCUGGUCAACAGUAUUGUAGUCAAAUGAAACAAAAAUCUAAAUUUUUGCUCACACCUCUACUCAGUUCUUUCGGAGGAAAUCUGGAGAGUCCUUCUUUCCUCGUACCAAAUGUAUUGGGGGGUUGUCAGAGUGAAUGGAAAAGGAAAAAAAGAGGAUUAUGUCAAUAUCUUAGAUCAAAAUUUGAAAUCAUCCGCAAAAAGAAUAGGCCUUGUUCGUAAGAGGUUAUUUCAACAGUCAAUGACCCAAAUUAUUCUUGUAAAUUUGCAUCCUUGUGACUUCAAUGGAGUAAGAUUAAGAUUUUGUACUGUCCUUCAUUUAAUCCAGACCUCAAUCCUAUUGAAAAUCUUUUGAAUGACUUUAAAAAAACGGGUUUAUGCCAGAAAACCCCAAAAAAAUCGAGUCAUUUAGCAUUGAAGAGUGGCAAAAUAUUCCUUCUAGAACUUGUUUGAACUUAAUCGUAAAUUAUAAGAAAAGAUUAGUUGAAGUAUCAGACAUAAAGGCUAUAUUAAAGGAGCAUUAAUUCAUUAAUGAUCAAUAAACAUUUUUUAUUAUUAUCAUUUUA
rnacentral:lncRNA from 1 species